rnacentral:rRNA from 1 species
UACGUAGGGUGCAAGCGUUGUCCGGAAUUAUUGGGCGUAAAGAGCUCGUAGGCGGUUUGUCGCGUCGAAUGUGAAAACCCGGGGCUCAACCCCGGGCCUGCAUUCGAUACGGGCAGACUAGAGUUCGGUAGGGGAGUCUGGAAUUCCUGGUGUAGCGGUGAAAUGCGCAGAUAUCAGGAAGAACACCCGUGGCGAAAGCGGCUCUCUGGAACGGUACUGACGCUGAGACGCGAAAGCGUGGGGAGCGAACAGG